CCCGGAACUGGCUAAUGUGCUGAAAGUGAAAGCGGGGGGUCAGCCCUUUGUGGGACAGCUGACUCUCUCCCCCUCCCCAAGGCCCAGGGAACAUCGAGGAAGAGAAGGAAGAAUGAACUCUAAGCACCCGAGGAUAGGAAAUGUGCAGCGCUGCCCCUUUGCUGUGGGGAUGUCAGUCGUGAUCCUUACGAUGGGCAGGAGAGGGACCAUCUGGAGCAUGUGAAACAGCAGAACCAGCUCGGAACAGGACGCUUCAUGGACAGCACAUCUGGAGACGGAGUGAAGUAAGGGCCGGAUUAGCAGCCCAGGACGGGGAGGAAACCCUUCUGCACUCAUUACAUCACUGGCCACAUCUCCAGGGAUGUGUGGCUCAAUUGCUGAAGACGAACUUAGUCUCAACGGAAAGGCUGUUCAGCAAGACAAAAUCGAAUGCACUUGAGGAAUAGAAACCCCGACUAAGACAAUACUGGCAGGAACACUGUAUGAGAAUCCUACAGCAUGGAGUGAUGACAUCCAUGGUAAGUUACCACUUGGGGAAUGAGGUGGGUCCAGCCCAUGUCAGAGUUAAUCACAAUGGGAGCAGGAAAGAUGGCAGGAAGAGAAAACCCAAGGACAGAACAGAUCCACAGGUCCUGCUGGAGGAGACACAGUGAUGGGAUCAGAAGCAAAGACCAGGGAGAACAGGGGCCCUAAUGUUCUUUUGUUUUUGGAGUAAUGCCGAGGGUCAGAACCUCUAUCUCUGAUUGAUGUUACCUCUUCAAUCAUCAGGAAAACAACUAUUCAGGUCCCAAUUUGGUUGAUCAUUGAUUGUUUUUCUGAAGCUGAUAAAAUGACCAAGGUCUGAUGCAAGAUUAACAUGGGUCCUAAACAGUGAGCUUUCUUAUGGGUGAUAAGGGUUCAUCAGUGGUAGCUAUCACCUCCCUCACGAUAACCUCAAGGGUGUCACAGAAAGACGACC